rnacentral:rRNA from 1 species
UACGGAAGGCAGCAGUGGGGAAUAUUGCACAAUGGGCGAAAGCCUGAUGCAGCUAUGCCGCGUGUAUGAAGAAGGCCUUAGGGUUGUAAAGUACUUUCAUCGGGGAGGAAAAACAAAACUAAUAAUUUUAUUUCUUGACGUUACCCGAAAAAGAAGCACCGGCUAACUCCGUGCCAGCAGCCGCGGUAAUACGGAGGGUGCUAGCGUUAAUCAGAAUUACUGGGCGUAAAGAGCACGUAGGUGGUUUUUUUAAGUCAGAUGUGAAUCCCUGGGCUUAACCUAGGAACUGCAUUUUGAAACUGAAAUACUAGAGUAUCGUAGAGGGAGGUAGAAUUCUAGGUGUAGCGGUGAAAUGCGUAGAUAUCUGGAGGAAUACCUGUGGCGAAAGCGGCCUCCUAAACGAAUACUGACACUGAGGUGCGAAAGCGUGGGGAGCAAA